UACGUAGGGAGCAAGCGUUGUCCGGAAGCAUUGGGCGUAAAGCGCGCGUAGGUGGCCCCAUAAGUCCGCUGUGAAAGUCAAAGGCUCAACCUUUGAAAGCCGGUGGAUACUGUGGGACUAGAGUACGGAAGAGGCGAGUGGAAUUCCUGGUGUAGCGGUGGAAUGCGCAGAUAUCAGGAGGAACACCAAUAGCGAAGGCAGCUCGCUGGGACGUUACUGACACUGAGGCGCGAAAGCGUGGGGAGCGAACAGG
rnacentral:rRNA from 1 species